AUUACUUCUUGGUCCUUUGGCUAAGCUCGGGUGUAUUAUCUAUUCUUAUCAGUUUUUCUAUCUGAUACGCUUCCUUUCUGGGGCCUAUUUAUUAAAGGAAAUUUUAGAAUAGGGAGAAAAGCUUUCUCUUUCUAAUCCUCGCCUUGACCUGGAUUACAGUACUUCCAGGACUGAUACACAAUGC